GAUAUAAAAUGCAUGCAUCAAAGCUUUAAAAAUGCAGAUGAGCAGUAUAUAUGAUAAGCUAAGCCCUUAGCUAUCUAGUUUCUCACAGUUUAUUAUGUUGUCUUUUAGGAUCAGGUUCCUAAUUACAGCUCUUAGUUGUCUCCCAAGUAAGGGGUUUUAAUCUAUGAAGCCUGAAACACACUAUAGGGUGUUGUUUUUAUCAAUCUUCCUGUGGUUUCCUUUAAAGCUCCAUUUGAAAGUAAACAAAGAGAAAAUAGAAUAGACAAUUGAACUAUGACACAAAUAUGAUCAUAUGAUAUAUAAACAUUGUCAAAAGUGCAUUGUCUUCCAAGAAUAUUAAAUACACAAGCAAGCAACAUCUUUUCUAAGUAUUUCACGAAUUCCAUUCAAAUUCUUGGUCAGCCAGCUGAUGUUUUUGCUGCAAGAUGGAUAAGUGCUCGUCUGUGGUAGGUUAUGCGGAGUUUUUUGUAUUUCUGAAUAAAAGCUGCUACUUCUAUCUCCCUGUCAAGAAGUUGUCUGUGUAGGGUUUCAGAUUCCUCUUCUGUCUUAUUCAUUCCUUCUUGAAGCCUUUGGAGAAGGGAUACAAGGGAGCAGGACCUCAAAAUCUCUUCUUUCUGUUUGUCCAGUUCAUUUAAUUUCUCAUGGGCAGCAGCCAACUCAGUAGUCCGUAUUAUUCUGCACUGGUUCCUUAGCUCCAUUAUUUGUGGCUCCUUGUCCAAAUUCUCCCUAGCCAGCUGUAGAGUUUCUUUGCGAAGUUCAUCCCUUAUCUGAUAAAAGAAGUGAUUGUAGUGAUCACAAAUUAGCAACACUAAGUUUCAUAAUGAAGGCAACAAGAAAUGCAUUUUUUCAAAUAAUUUUCUGCUCUCGCCUAGUGCAAUUAAAAUUGAAAAGGAAUUUUUCCAUAUUCCAUGGUAUGACGUGUAAUUCACAAUUAAACUGUUCAUAGAAGUGCAGUUGCAAAAACGAUCACACAGAAGCCAAAAGAUUUCUUAUGAGUGCAUACGUGUAAGCAUACAGGCAUGAGUACUGUUUGUAUGUGCCACAUUUGGGCAAUGGGCAUGCCAAAAUAUAUUUAGCAGAAGGAAUUUCAAAAUGAUGAUUUUUCCUCUUUCUACAGACUUCUGAGAACUUUUACCAAUGAGAAUGCGAGUCUCAUAGAAAAAAGUAAGGUCAGGAAAUAUUUACCCUGCAUUUAGCAAUUUCAAUCCAAUCUUUACUUAUUAAUUUCUAUUCAGCCUCAAGAAAACAAAGCAUGCAAACAUUCACUACUUAGUAUUUACUGUUCCCAGUCCUUGCUAGUUUUCAAUACUUUCAUUUAUGUUCAAGAGACAAGAAGACACAUAAUCUUUGAUUGACUCAUGGAAAAAUCAGGAUUGCACAACUCCUGUUUCAUGGCAAGGGAACCUUAGACCAUUCUGAUCCUACAACAUCAGCAGAAACCAACUCCGAUACAACACAUAUGCAUUCUUUAGUUGCAAAUAGACAAUUGUAUAGAGAAAAGUCCUUAAACUAAAUCCGCAAAAAAUAAGAACAUGUGACCAACAAUAUUUCUUGGUUUGUAAAGGCAACAGGCAAAGGCGGAAAGAUUGCAACUUACAUUAUUUUGAAUUUUAACCUGAUCAACUGAAACUAAAAAUUGAUGGUAUGCAUCCUUGUCUGACAACAGCCUCCGAAGCUCAUCAACACUAGAAAUAUAUAAAAAGAAAACAGAGAUAAAACAAGCUAUCUAGGAAUAAUCACAAUGCCUAGAUUUUUUUCCCCUUCUCACAGAAGCUACAAAAAAAAAAUUUCUAAUUCUAAAAGAUAGGAUUUGAAUCUAUGACCUAAUCCAAGCGAUAGUUACAAAAUUAAUGAUCUGUUAACAAACAUGCCUCAAUUGCAUCUCUCCUUUGGUCCAUGUAUGAAAUCGUCAAUGUACUUGACUUCACUAAGGUCAAAACUACAUCAUGGAUAUAAUGCGGAUCUCUAGACACACCGCUUCCAGCUUCUUUCAUAUCAAUUUCCAUGCAUGUUGUAAAUCUUCGCACCAAAAAACAUAUUGGAAGAAUUAAGUGUAGCAUGCCCAAAAUAUUACCCUUUCUGAGUCACUAGAAAAUAUUAAGUGUGGAUAAUAAUGAAACUGCCAGCAAAUCUAAGAGUGAAACAAAUCUCAUAUAGCCCACAAAACUCGAAAACAACAUUGCAAGAAACAAUCAAUACAACAACAAUAUGCAUACUGUGCAUCAGGCAACCCACCUUUUAUCCUUCAAAAGGGCAAUAACUCCAGCUGCUUCAGAAGGUGACACAUGUGAAGGAGACUGUGGUCGAUCUGUAGGUCGUUGCAAACCGUAGCUACUAAUUGGUGUUACAGGGCGAGAGGAAUUAGGGGAGCUCGCUACAGAUGGAGGGUACCAAGAUUGUGAAGGAGCAUCUUGUGGAUGUGGCUGAGCUUGCUGCUCCUGAGAACCCCUACAGUCGGACAUAGUUGAAACAUAAGUGCCUAAACAUAAAACCCACAUAAAAGAAAAAAAUUAAAAGAAAAAAAAGAAGAAUGAAAUAACAAGAAAAGAAUAGGCAACUGUAAUGAGUGUGGACACUAGAAUUAUGUUUCAACCUCAACACAAUUGUUUAUUAGACAUGAUAUAUCAUUUGAACAUAACAGGUUAUACAAGUAAUCAAGAUAAAAGACAAACAAAACCAAAAUUAUUGAAAGUAUGCAAUAGCAGGUUAAACACAUUUUCAAAAUAGAGGAUAUAACAUAAAGGGUAUAUAUUAAGCUUUCCGUAUGAGAGAAAAAUGACAAUACAAUUAAGCACAAACCAUUUUCCACCAUGUUAGAAAGGGAAAAUCAAGAGUAUGUAAUGUUAAAAUCACACAAUAAUACCUUGAUCAAGACUUUCAAUACUUGUUUAGUUCUGCAAUCAAAUUUGACCAUAAAAUUCAUUAAAAAAAAAAGCCAACCGAAACAAUCCACAAUACCCAAAUUGCAAGUGCAUCACCAUCAUCAUCGAUGAAUCCAAAUCAUUGAAAAAAUCUCAAUUCAGCAUAUAAAUUGUUAAUAAAAACAGAAUCUCAUCAACCCGAACCAAUACCUAGUUAACUGAAAUAACAAAACCAAUAUAUAAAAAACUCCCAAAUUUAAAGCACAAGAAGAACAGAAAACGAAUACCA
rnacentral:misc_RNA from 1 species